GGGAGCACAGUGGUGCAGUGGUAAAUUUGCUGCCUUACGUCACCAGAGACCUGAGUUUGAUCCCGAUUAUGUGUGCUGUCUGUACAGAGUUUGAACGUUCUCCCUGUGACUGUGUACGUUUUCUCCGGGUGCUCCGGU